GUAAUUUGCUGUGUGUUGUUCUUUAGAAAGAGGGAAAAUCCCCAUGAUUCAGUGGUGCUUCAUCCAAAGAAGGCUGGACUUAUCCUCGACAGCUUGCCAGAGAAGAGUGUGAUUGGCACAAGUUCACUUCGCAGAGCAGCUCAGCUAAAGAAACGAUUGCCUCAACUGGAGUUUGAAAAUAUUAGAGGCAACCUAAACACCCGUCUGAAGAAGCUAGAUGAAAAGGACGACUAUGCUGACUAAGCAGGCCUCAAACGUAUGGGCUGGAAAAGCCAAAUCAGUCAGGUAUGAGACAGAAGAUGCCACCGUUUUUUUCUUUUGUGCUAUGAUGUACAUCUGAGGAUUAUCAAAAAAGAAAAAAAAAUGUAGGGAAUGGACUUGGUUCUAUCCAUCAGAUGUUGAUUCGAUGGAGACAGAUCUAAAUGCAAGAAUACCAACUGCUAUUCUGAAUAUGAAGGUCUCUGGUGACUACAGCAGUGUUUAUAGAUGUAUUUAUUGUAUAUUUAUAAUAGAUUCUGGACCCUGAAGAUUGCAUGUAUGCAGUUGGCCAGGUAAGUGUGCAAAAAUGCAAUUACAUUAGGUUUUCAUGCAUUAGAUUUAAAAUAGUAGUAAAUAUGUUCCAGUGUUUAUACUCCUCAUGCUUUGUACUUAUUGUGUUGUUCAUGUGAGAAAAAAUGCAGCUGCUGCCUCAACUGUUAUUGCACGUUAUAAACCUUUGUAAGGAAACACCUGUGUAACAAUUCGUUAACAGUUGCAGCCAUAAAAGUGCACUUAUUUUGGUAUAUGUUGCAUGCAGGGUUUCUGCAGGCUUUAUGAAGGUAAAUGUAAGACUUUUUGAGUCCUCUUUAAGACCAAGUAAAGAAAAUAUAAGGAAUACAUUGAAUGGAGCACAGAGUUUGUCAAUAUGGUCUCUAUAUGUAAAUGUCUUGUAUAAGCAAUGAUUCAAUGUUUGAAAACACAGCUUCCAUCUCCAUUAUGUUUUAAUUGAAAAAAAGAAAAAAAUCUUAAAGGGAUACUUCAACCCAAAAUAAAAAUGUUGUCAUUAAUCACUUACCCUCAUGUCACUCCAAACCCAUAAAAGCUUAGUUUGUCUUCAGAACUAUUUUAUUUUGGAUGAAAACUUGGGAGUCUUGUGACUGUACAGUGGUUCAACCGUAAAGUUAUGUUGCGACGAGAAUACUGUUUGUACUCGAAGAAAAACAAAAAAUAUGACUUUAUUCAACAAUUUGUCUCCUCUGUGUCACUCCACAUAAGCUUAGCUUACACAGAAGAGCAUAAGCUGCCAGUGUAUUGAUGGCAGAUGGACUAUUCUGAUGAUGUCUUUCAUACUUUUCUGGACCUUGACAGUAUAUUUUACUUGGCGGUCUACUGGACAGUAAGAAGCCUCCUGGUUUUCAUCCAAAAUAUCUUAAAUUGUGUUCCAAAGACGAGCGAAGCAUUUACAGGUUUUGAAUGACAUAAUAACAAAAUUGUAAUUUUGGGGUGGAGUAACCCUUUAAGGCUGGAAUAACUGUGUGGAAGGGUGAAUUAAUAUGAACAUAGAACAUACUGCAUUUGUGAUCAGAUAUACAGGCUGUGAAACCACUGCUGUAUAAGCCUGUAGUAAAUGUUAAAUAAGCAGUAAUGUGUCUUAACAUCAGGGAGCACUGGCAGUGGAAGUCAGAGCACAAGAUAAAGACAUCCUUGAAAUGGUGUCUGUUCUGCAGUAUCAAGACAAUGCUGCGGUGCAUCUCAGAGAGAGCUUUUCUCAAGCAGCUGGUGGGUUUCCUUACAUGCACAUCAACUCAGCUUUCAUUGCAUGUGGUACAUAUCAGUUUGACCUUAUCUUGAGAGUAUUCUGGGCAGUCCAACACAGUUUUAUGGUUUUAAUACUGCUCUAAUACUCGGUUGCGACUCACGCAAAAGAUGGCAGAAAACGCAGGGUGGUGUGGUGCUACUUUUCAUCAGCUGAAAAAAGUAUAGCACGAUGCAAUAUUUGUGAUAAGAGAGUCACACAGUGCAACAAUACACGCAAUCUUUUUAAACACUUGCAAACAACACACCCUGAAACGUAUAAAGAGGCUGAACAAAAUCAAGAUGCAUAGUUUUCAGCUGCCCAGUCUUCCUCUGCCUGCCAAAAGACAUUACAGGAGAGUUUUCAUGGAGGCAAACCUUAUCCAGUUACAAAGAGCACAGUCAUUAACUUAUUAACUCUACUCCCUGUCUCUGUCAUAACCAUUAGGUGAAUACAAAUAAAUAUAAAGUUUGUAUGUUUGUGUGGGGUGUCCUGGUUUUCCUUACAUUAGGGACAAAACGCACAAGUAAUACCAAUACAUUUUG